AGAAGUUUAGGCUAAUAAGACCAAGGGCCUUCAAAGCCCUAAGUAAGUGUACUACACUUAACUUCUG
rnacentral:tRNA from 1 species